UCCCUGGUGGCUUACUGGUAAAGAAUCUGCCUGUGAUGCAGGAGACUCUGGUUCAAUCCCUGGGUUGGGAA
rnacentral:tRNA from 1 species